UGGGGAAUAUUGGACAAUGGGCGAAAGCCUGAUCCAGCCAUGCCGCGUGUGUGAAGAAGGUCUUCGGAUUGUAAAGCACUUUAAGUUGGGAGGAAGGGCAGUAAGCGAAUACCUUGCUGUUUUGACGUUACCGACAGAAUAAGCACCGGCUAACUCUGUGCCAGCAGCCGCGGUAAUACAGAGGGUGCAAGCGUUAAUCGGAAUUACUGUGCGUAAAGCGCGCGUAGGUGGUUCGUUAAGUUGAAUGUGAAAGCCCCGGGCUCAACCUGGGAACUGCAUCCAAAACUGGCGAGCUAGAGUAGGGCAGAGGGUGGUGGAAUUUCCUGUGUAGCGGUGAAAUGCGUAGAUAUAGGAAGGAACACCAGUGGCGAAGGCGACCACCUGGGCUCAUACUGACACUAAGGUGCGAAAGCGUGGGGAGCAAACAGG
rnacentral:rRNA from 1 species